ensembl:lncRNA
GGUCUCCAUAUUUUUUCAUUGCUGUAUAACGUCCACAUAACGUUUUUAUUGCGAUAGGCCUAGACGUGAACAAAACGUUUUUGAUCAACGUUGUUUCAAUGCAUUAGAGAAUUCCUGCGUUAGAUGAUUCGGUCUUGUCAGUUAAUCAGUCGAAUAAUCAGGCUUGCCGAAUAUUCGCUGCGUCCUUUGAUCAGUCGACCCCGCCAGGAACGACUCCGCUCACCUGUUCGCGGGAAGCGCGCGGGCUUUAGGACCCUGGGUGCGCGAGUGUUUUCUCCAGCUGCUGCGGGUGAACGCUGGCGCUGAGGGAAGCUCGCGCGGAGAAUCUGCCCGAAAUCCUCCUGCCUUCAAUCCUGCGCGCGAUCGCGGAGCUGAACCGAGCGAGAUCCACAGGCACGCGCACGGUCGGUCGAGCGGGAGGUCUCCUUCUGCAUGCACGCUGCCCAGUGCUGGACGGCGCGCGGGGUCGGCUCGCGGCGGUGAGCUCUGUGCCGUAUCCAGACGCAAACCUAGUAAACACUCACCUGUCGACACGCCCUGAGGAAUGCUGUGUUGAAACAAACGCCUAUGCAGGUGGACCCCUCGCCAAUGAAUGUGGGGGAUGGAGGCCCAGUGAGCAGAGAGAGCAGUGCCCCUGCCCAGGCCUCCGAGAGCAUGGUGGGGAAUCCACAGCAGACACUGCCUCCUGAACUCCGAGGAGACGUGCCUCACAGUCAGCAGAACAAGCUGAGGACAUCCACGGACUGCAAAGCGCCUGGCGUCUGCUCGGAGGCCGGCAAGGCCAGCAAGGCCAGCAAUUCAAACCAUUGUCCUGAAGUCCCUCCCUCACAACCUCACAACAAUGCUCCUGUGUUCAGCACUGAUCCUUUGAGCACGCCGUUGCCCGACAGGACAGAGGUCCCUAAAGCCAAGGCUGAUGGUGCUGGUAUUUACUCGACCCACCAUUGGCCUUGCGGUAAAAAAGUUGGCGUGGAGGACUCUGUGAACUCUGUGCACGGUGGGAUCACAGCGAAUAAGAAAACGCCCCAAAGCCCAAGCCACACCCCACCUGUGAUUAGCCUUCCCCCGGGAUUUCAGUGUUCAACGCUCUUCAAAACAGGCCAACCUGUUGCUUUCCUGCCCUCUCCUAACUUUUCCUCUUCGCCUCUCUGUAAGAUUACGCUGCCCCCAGGGUUGGGCCAAAUUGCUGCCCUGAGGGAAGCAACAGCUAGUCAGUUUCAAAAAGACUGUGCAGCGCCUAGUUCUGGCUCGAGUAUGCCUCCAAGGCUCAAAACGUACCCUUCUUACCACUUCUCGGUGGGUAGAAGCCUCGCUUCUGACAAGAAACCACUCUCGCCGGCAUCUAAAGGACGAAGUGACUCUUUGUCCAAUGCUGCUAAGGGCUGCAAAAGUGUCGGAGAGCACAAAUCCACAGUGCCCUCCGCCUCCAACCCAGCAAUCGUUCCGCCUGUGCAACAGUCCUCACAGAGCUCAGCCCCACCGACUCGCUACACCAUCUCUCCCACCGCUGCCAUCUGCUGUAGCUCGGCACUAGCCAACAUUAGCACUCAGAGCAGGUUGCUUAGCCUUGUGGAGAAAUGCCCGUCAUACAGAGGGGUUGAAAAGACUAUGGCGUUUCUGAAGCCCAAGACUUCUACUUCUUCUGCCGAGGAGCACAACACGCCUUGUUCCCCAGAGGAACGGGAUGUACCCCUUGAUCUCUCUUCAAAAUCGAAGCGCCAGAAAAGCAUCAGGGACGCUCAGAACGCCUCAACUGCAUCUGAGCAUCAUCCCGCCGAGCCUCAUCAUCAUCAGAAGAACAUGCACACCUCCAAAAGACCUCAGACUGCCACUUUCGGUACUGCCAAUGCAUACUCGCUUCUACCAGACACCCAACGAAACGGUGCCGCCCCACAGAGAUCGUCCUCAAAACUCAGCAAUCACCACAGUUUAGAACCCAGUGCGUCGUGGGGCAAAGGCUCCUCGCCGUGUUCGUUAAACAGCCUCCCUGGCACAUAUGUAGGAGUGGCUAGUCCCAUACUUGCCUCGACGUUGCGUAGCAAAGAUGGAAAGAGUGCUGCUUUUGUUGAUGAUCUCCAGACUUUUGCGAAGCAGGAGACAAUUUCCAUUAUUGAUCAAGGAGAGCAGUUGGUAUCGAGGGGUAAGAAGGCAGCACCAUCGAGUGCAGGUAAAGGUAACCAAUUAAAUAAGGGCACCAAACAUUCUGCACACUCUGCAAGUGCUUCGUCACUUGGAUCGCCAGAGCAUUUGUCCACACCUUUAUUUGUUACAGCAAACUCGGAGCUCAGAUCUUCUCGGAAGUCUUCGUUGGGAGGAAAAGCAGGGAUUCCUUAUACACCUCCGGUUAUCAAACCAUCGUGGCAGCAGCAACCUAACGUCCAUACUCAAGAGACGUCCACACAAAAGCAGCUGAGUCAAACGCAACCCCCGUCUAAAGCGGUCAGAAGCAACAUGGCUUGUGAGACUCCCCUGUUCCAUAGCUCUGAUCUAAGCCCUACUAAAUUGGUGGAUGACAAAUGGGAGAAAGCCAAGUCCCCGUUGUCCAAUCUGGAGUCGAUCGUGAAGCAGAAAGCUCUGGAAACCACUGCACUGACUGCAGAGAACUACUGUAACUUGACUUCUGCGGGCUCCAGGAAGCCUGAGGUCCUGAACCUGCUCAACAGAUGUCAGAACCCUCCACUACUUCCGAAUGUGACGACAAGCUUCACACCGUCCAGAGUCUCCGAACCACAGGACUCCAGAUCGGACCGAAUCUCCCCACCCAAAGAGGUCAUUCCACCAGUCAACAGACCGGAGGCUACGACGACCAGUAUAGUUCCCAAAGAGAAGAAACGCGACAAACCGACAAAGCAGACUGAACAUGUAACCGGCGACAGCAGUAGUCAAAAGUCAAAGCCCAGCACCCCCAAGAAAAAGUGUGCUUCCGGUAUUAAAGCUGGCAAGAAAGACAAUAAACUGGUCCAAAGUCUUGAUCAAGACUUAAUAAAAAAAGAACCGACAGCACAGACUGAGUCCUCAACUCCUUCUAAACUGGAGGGGAUCGCUCUAUCGGAUCUUCACCCUCAGACUGAGACUGUAACAGAGGCAGAAGACGAGAAUAAAACAAACAGUGCCAAAGAGGAAAGCCCUUCCAAAGGAAAAGUACCCAUCACCAAACAGAAAAGAGCUAAAAAGCUGGCUAAGGAGAAAAUGUCUCCUGCUAAUGAGAAGACGCCGAAGAAGACUGCAACACUAAUGAAAAAACAGCAGGAGAAGGAGAGUGCCACAGUAGCACAAGGCUCUACCUCGAAAAAACAGAAGAAAGAUGUCUCUUCGCCAGAGGAAAAGAGUCCACAAAAGGUGGAGAAGAGUCCAAUAAAGGUGGAGAAGAGUCCACAAAAAGUGGAAAAGUGUCCAAACAAGGUGGAGAAGAGUCCAAUAAAGGUGGAGAAGAGUCAAAUCAAGGCAGAGAAGAGUCAACAAAAAUUGGAGAAGAUUCCACUGAAAGUGGAGAAAAGUCCAGUAAAGGUGGAGAACAGUCCACAGAAGGAGGAGAGCACAUGUUCGUCCCCUGAACCAGUGAGAAAGAUUCGCAAAGGGAAGAGCAGUGCCGUUAAAAAGGAGCGUCCCGUCCCAAACAAAUCUGGUUUUGAGAGCAGCCCAGUCGACAGUACCCAGUGUGACCAGCGUGAGGAGGACCCCAGCACCCUCAGCAGCCCUGUCCGCCCCAGCAAAGACUCGCAGGAGUCCCAGGUGGAGGCAUCUCCCCGGCUGAGACGGGGACGCCGGCGCACCGACGAAGCUCUGCUGAAAGACUGGAGCUUCGCUUCUCCACCCACUCCCCCUCCUCCCGAUCCCCCCGCCUCCCCAACCUCGCCCAGUCACACCGCGACGGUCACCCCCCUGCGCCGGCCGCGGGGACGCCCUCGCCUCAACCGCCGGCGCGACGAGAGCGACGCCAGCAAGGGCAGAGCUGCAGACGGAGGAGACUCGGCGUCGGCGAAGAAGAGGAAGCGCUGCAGGAACCGCAAGUACCAGAACGGAGAGUACAUCACCGAGAAGGACAAGCCGGCAGAGGGAGAGAAAGAGGAGAGGCUCGGGGAAGACGAGGAAAGUACAGGUAAAUAAAUACAAAUUUAAAGGUGAAUUAGUUGUGGUGGUAAUUCCAUUAUAAAGCCCCUUUACACAC